CCUACGGGUGGCAGCAGUGGGGAAUAUUGCACAAUGGGGGAAACCCUGAUGCAGCGACGCCGCGUGAGUGAAGAAGUAACUCGUUAUGUAAAGCCCUAUCAGCAGGGAAGAAAAUGACGGUACCUGAGUAAGAAGCCCCGUCUAACUACGUGCCAGCAGCCGCGGUAAUACGUAGGGGGCAAGCGUUAUCCGGAUUUACUGGGUGUAAAGGGGGCGUAGUCGGCGGUGCAAGUCUGGAGUGAAAGGCGGGGGCCCAACCCCCGGACUGCUCUGGAAACUGUACGGCUGGAGUGCAGGAGGGGCAGGCGGAAUUCCUGGUGUAGCGGUGAAAUGCGUAGAUAUUAGGAGGAACACCGGUGGCGAAGGCGACUUUCUGGACUGUAACUGACGCUGAGGCGCGAAAGCGUGGGGAGCGAACAGGAUUAGAUACCCUAGUAGUC
rnacentral:rRNA from 1 species